rnacentral:lncRNA from 1 species
CGGUGUUAAGCUACUUAUGUAGGUUUGACCCACAUAUAUAUACCAUCAACUAAUUAAUUAAUGACCUUGCUUCUAUUAGUAUGUGUGUAUACAUGUGUAUACUUGUAUAUGUAUAUGUAUAUGCUAUGCGAAGCUUCAUCAGAAUACUUGCUUCACCGUAAAAUGUUCUACACAUGUGGCCGGCCAUUUUAUGCUGCCACUUGGUACGGAACCCUUAAUC